rnacentral:rRNA from 1 species
AAAUUGAAGAGUUUGAUCAUGGCUCAGAUUGAACGCUGGCGGCAGGCCUAACACAUGCAAGUCGAGCGGAAACGAGUUAUCAGAACCUUCGGGGGACGAUAACGGCGUCGAGCGGCGGACGGGGGAGUAAUGCCUAGGAAAUUGCCCUGAUGUGGGGGAUAACCAUUGGAAACGAUGGCUAAUACCGCAUGAUGCCUACGGGCCAAAGAGGGGGACCUUCGG